rnacentral:lncRNA from 1 species
CCAACAUAUCUAGGGCUUAAUUUGCCACGAACCCCAAAUCUCAUCACACCUUUUGUAGGUGACACUCUCAAGAAAACAUGAUCUCCAAUUUGAAAUUCCAAUUCUCUCCUUCUAUUAUCAGCAUAACUCUUCUGGCGACUCUGAGCUGUACGAAGUCGUUCUCUGAUCAUUUGCACCUUAUCAACAGUCUGUUGUACUAUCUCUGGACCUAAUAAUUU